GGGUUGUGAGGUUAAGCGACUAAGCGUACACGGUGGAUGCCCUGGCAGUCAGAGGCGAUGAAGGACGUGCUAAUCUGCGAUAAGCGCCGGUAAGGUGAUAUGAACCGUUAUAACCGGCGAUUUCCGAAUGGGGAAACCCAGUGUGAUUCGUCACACUAUCAUUAACUGAAUCCAUAGGUUAAUGAGGCGAACCGGGGGAACUGAAACAUCUAAGUACCCCGAGGAAAAGAAAUCAACCGAGAUUCCCCCAGUAGCGGCGAGCGAACGGGGAGGAGCCCAGAGCCUGAAUCAGCAUGUGUGUUAGUGGAAGCGUCUGGAAAGGCGCGCGAUACAGGGUGACAGCCCCGUACACAAAAGCGCAUGUGCUGUGAGCUCGAUGAGUAGGGCGGGACACGUGGUAUCCUGUCUGAAUAUGGGGGGACCAUCCUCCAAGGCUAAAUACUCCUGACUGACCGAUAGUGAACCAGUACCGUGAGGGAAAGGCGAAAAGAACCCCGGCGAGGGGAGUGAAAAAGAACCUGAAACCGUGUACGUACAAGCAGUGGGAGCCCCACCACUAAGCCAGUGGUGAACUCCACAUACGCAUCCUUUGCUGAGGAUACGGUUAACGGAGCGAAAGCGACGUUCAACCUCAAAAGAAGCAGAGGGGGCUUAGUGGUGGGGUGACUGCGUACCUUUUGUAUAAUGGGUCAGCGACUUAUAUUCUGUAGCAAGGUUAACCGUAUAGGGGAGCCGGAGGGAAACCGAGUCUUAAUUGGGCGUUAAGUUGCAGGGUAUAGACCCGAAACCCGGUGAUCUAGCCAUGGGCAGGUUGAAGGUUGGGUAACACUAACUGGAGGACCGAACCGACUAAUGUUGAAAAAUUAGCGGAUGACCUGUGGCUGGGGGUGAAAGGCCAAUCAAACCGGGAGAUAGCUGGUUCUCCCCGAAAGCUAUUUAGGUAGCGCCUCGUGAAUUCAUCUUCGGGGGUAGAGCACUGUUUCGGCUAGGG
rnacentral:rRNA from 1 species